rnacentral:rRNA from 1 species
AGCGAACGCUGGCGGCAGGCUUAACACAUGCAAGUCGAGCGGGCAUCCUUGUGGUGUCAGCGGCAGACGGGUGAGUAACGCGUGGGAACGUGCCCUUCGGUUCGGAAUAACUCAGGGAAACUUGAGCUAAUACCGGAUACGUGCGAGAGCAGAAAGGUUUAUCUGCCGAAGGAUCGGCCCGCGUCUGAUUAGCUAGUUGGUGAGGUUACGGCUCACCAAGGCGACGAUCAGUAGCUGGUCUGAGAGGAUGAUCAGCCACACUGGGACUGAGACACGGCCCAGACACAGAGGGGGGAGAGGGGGGGGAAAAUCGGGACAAGGGGGGAAAGCAGGACGCGGGCAUGGGGGGUGGGGGAGGGCGGACUGAGGGUUGUAACACUAUUGUGUCGGGGAAGAUAAGGGAGGGACCGGAGAACGAAGCCGCAGAUAACUGCGAGCCAGCGGCAGCGAUAACAAGAGGAAGAGCAAACGAAAAACC